rnacentral:rRNA from 1 species
AUUGAACGCUGGCGGCAGGCCUAACACACGCAAGUCGAGCGAGCGGCGGACGGGUGAGUAAUGUCUGGGAAACUGCCUGAUGGAGGGGGAUAACUACUGGAAACGGUAGCUAAUACCGCAUACCAUCAGAUGUGCCCAGAGGGGAUUAGAUGGGAGGUGGGGUAACGGCUCCCUGAGGCGACGAUCCCUAGCUGGUCUGAAAGGAUGACCAGCCACACUGGAACUGAGACACGGUCCAGGCUCCUACGGGAGGCAGCAGGGGGGAAUAUUGCACAAUGGGCGCAAGCCUGAUGCGUCCAUGCCGCGUGUGUGAAGAAGGCCUUCGGGUUGUAAAGCACUUUCAGUGGGGAGGCGUUACCCUCAGAAGAAGCACCGGCUAACUCCGUGCCAGCAGCCGCGGUAAUUC